rnacentral:rRNA from 1 species
CCUACGGGAGGCAGCAGUGAGGAAUAUUGGACAAUGGGCGCAAGCCUGAUCCAGCCAUGCCGCGUGCAGGAAGAAGCAUCUAUGGUGUGUAAACUGCUUUUGUACAGGAAGAAACACUCCCUCGUGAGGGAGCUUGACGGUACUGUAAGAAUAAGGACCGGCUAACUCCGUGCCAGCAGCCGCGGUAAUACGGAGGGUCCGAGCGUUAUCCGGAAUCAUUGGGUUUAAAGGGUCCGUAGGCGGUUUAAUAAGUCAGUGGUGAAAUCUGGUCGCUCAACGAUCAAACGGCCAUUGAUACUGUUAGACUUGAAUUAUAAGGAAGUAACUAGAAUAUGUAGUGUAGCGGUGAAAUGCUUAGAUAUUACAUGGAAUACCAAAUUGCGAAGGCAGGUUACUACUUAUGGAUUGACGCUGAUGGACGAAAGCGUGGGGAGCGAACAGGAUUAGAUACCCUGGUAGUCCACGCCGUAAACGAUGGAUACUAGCUGUUCGAGCAAUCUGAGUGGCUAAGCGAAAAGUGAUAAGUAUCCCACCUGGGGAGUACGUUGCAAGAAUGAAACUUAAAUGAAAUUGACGG